CCAAUCCUGGGCUGGGUGCUCUGGCGGAAGCCACCUGCUCCAACCUCAGCUCCUCAUGUGUAAGCACGGGAAGACGAGAACACGACUCGGGGGUGUACGGAUUCAGGAAGCUAAGGACAUUAACAGGGCAAAGUCUAGAACCCAGCUUUGAACGGCCCCUGAGAGAAGAGCAAGAUAAACACAGGCCAUGGGCAGCGAUUGGGAUGGUGCACAUGGGAGGAAGGCCCUCGAGACUCAGGAGGACACAUUCAGGGCACGAUGAACACGCGUGGCUGCGGGUAGACCCCUGCAGACUAAGGACAGCUUACAGCGCUGGCAUCCACUAAGUUGUGGGGGGACAGCAAUACAGUGAAGUUUUCCUAAAAUGAAAUGUUCACUGUUUUAAAAGCUGCUCUGGGUGCCAUGAAGUAUAGCCAUCCUGAUCUUUGUUGUCUCUGAUGAAGCAAGGGUAACCAUAGAGUUCUCCUGCUAUAAUGUGAUUUUUUUUUCCCCUAAUGUCUUCACUUGACAACAUUAAAACAUCAAUUGCCC